AGUGAACGCUGGCGGUAGGCCUAACACAUGCAAGUCGAGCGGCAGCACAGUAAGAGCUUGCUCUUACGGGUGGCGAGUGGCGGACGGGUGAGGAAUACAUCGGAAUCUACUUUUUCGUGGGGGAUAACGUAGGGAAACUUACGCUAAUACCGCAUACGACCUACGGGCGAAAGCAGGGGAUCUUCGGACCUUGCGCGAUUGAAUGAGCCGAUGUCGGAUUAGCUAGUUGGCGGGGUAAAGGCCCACCAAGGCGACGAUCCGUAGCUGGUCUGAGAGGAUGAUCGGCCACACUGGAACUGAGACACGGUCCAGACUCCUACGGGAGGCAGCAGUGGGGAAUAUUGGACAAUGGGCGCAAGCCUGAUCCAGCCAUACCGCGUGGGUGAAGAAGGCCUUCGUGUUGUAAAGCCCUUUUGUUGGGAAAGAAAAGCAGCAGGUUAAUACCCCGCUGUUCUGACGGUACCCAAAGAAUAAGCACCGGCUAACUUCGUG
rnacentral:rRNA from 1 species